UAAGGAAUAUUGGUCAAUGGACGCAAGUCUGAACCAGCCAUGCCGCGUGAAGGAUGAAGGUCCUCUGGAUUGUAAACUUCUUUUAUCUGGGACGAAAACGGGAUUUUUAUCUCAAUUGACGGUACCAGAGGAAUAAGCACCGGCUAACUCCGUGCCAGCAGCCGCGGUAAUACGGAGGGUGCGAGCGUUAUCCGGAUUUACUGGGUUUAAAGGGUGCGUAGGUGGGCAGAUAAGUCAGUGGUGAAAUCUUCCGGCUUAACCGGGAAACUGCCGUUGAUACUAUUUGUCUUGAAUAUUGCGGAGGUAAGCGGAAUAUGUCAUGUAGCGGUGAAAUGCGUAGAUAUGACAUAGAACACCAAUUGCGAAGGCAGCUUACUACACAAUCAUUGACACUGAGGCACGAAAGCGUGGGUAGCGAACA
rnacentral:rRNA from 1 species